rnacentral:misc_RNA from 1 species
GUCAACUUCGAGGCCAAACCCAGAGAUUUUGAAUGCUCUCCAAAACUCUUUUUUGCUGAAUUGUAUGGAAAUGUGUUGCGCGUCACCUGUUUUUGUAUGCUGAAAUCUAAGGCUCUGAUAUGUUUGUGUGUUUUCUGUUUGCAUUUGAAAAGAUUGGCUAGUUACAAAAUUUAUUUUCUCUUUGUUUACUAAUGUCUUCUUCACCUGUUGUAUUCCCUAUAUUUGACUGCAAAUAUGUU